rnacentral:rRNA from 1 species
CCUACGGGCGGCUGCAGUGGGGAAUAUUGGACAAUGGGGGCAACCCUGAUCCAGCCAUGCCGCGUGUGUGAAGAAGGCCCUCGGGUUGUAAAGCACUUUCAGUGAGGAAGAACGCCUGGUGGUUAAUACCCAUCAGGAAAGACAUCACUCACAGAAGAAGCACCGGCUAACUCCGUGCCAGCAGCCGCGGUAAUACGGAGGGUGCGAGCGUUAAUCGGAAUUACUGGGCGUAAAGCGCGCGUAGGUGGCUUGAUAAGCCGGUUGUGAAAGCCCCGGGCUCAACCUGGGAACGGCAUCCGGAACUGUCAAGCUAGAGUGCAGGAGAGGAAGGUAGAAUUCCCGGUGUAGCGGUGAAAUGCGUAGAGAUCGGGAGGAAUACCAGUGGCGAAGGCGGCCUUCUGGACUGACACUGACACUGAGGUGCGAAAGCGUGGGUAGCAAACAGGAUUAGAUACCCUGUAGUC